AAGCGGUGGAGCAUGUGGUUUAAUUCGAAGCAACGCGAAGAACUUACCAGGUCUUGACAUCCCGAUGCUAUUUCUAGAGAUAGAAAGUUACUUCGGUACAUCGGUGACAGGUGGUGCAUGGUUGUCGUCAGCUCGUGUCGUGAGAUGUUGGGUUAAGUCCCGCAACGAGCGCAACCCUUAUCAUUAGUUGCUACGCAAGGGCACUCUAAUGAGACUGCCGGUGACAAACCGGAGGAAGGUGGGGAUGACGUCAAGUCCUCAUGGCCCUUAUGGGUAGGGCUUCACACGUCAUACAAUGGUCGGUACAGAGGGUUGCCAAGCCGCGAGGUGGAGCCAAUCCCAGAAAGCCGAUCGUAGUCCGGAUUGUUCUCUGCAACUCGAGAGCAUGAAGUCGGAAUCGCUAGUAAUCGCGGAUCAGCAUGUCGCGGUGAAUACGUUCCCGGGUCUU
rnacentral:rRNA from 1 species